rnacentral:rRNA from 1 species
GACGAACGCUGGCGGCGUGCCUAAUACAUGCAAGUCGAACGCAGUGGGGACGGGUGAGUAACACGUGGGUAACCUCCCAUCAGAGGGGAUAACACUUGGAAACAGGUGCUAAACCGAUACUGAUGGAUGGACCCGCGGUGCAUGAGCUAGUUGGGGGGGUAACGGCUCACCAAGGCCAAGCUGCAUAGCCGGCCUGAGAGGGUGAUCGGCCACACUGGGACUGAGAAACGGCGCAGAGUCCUACGGGAGGCAGCAGUAGGGAAUCUUCGGCAAUGGACGAAAGUCUGACCGAGCAACGCCGCGUGAGUGAAGAAGGUUUUCGGAUCGUAAAACUCUGUUGUUAGAGAAGCGGUAUCUAACCAGAAAGCCACGGCUAACUACGUGCUAGCAGCCGCGGUAAUUC